GAUGAACGCUAGCGGCGGGCUUAAUACAUGCAAGUCAAGGGGUAGCAAUACACCGGCGUACGGGUGCGUAACGCGUAUGGAACCUGCCCUUAUCUGGGGGAUAACUCGGGGAAACUCGAGCUAAUACCGCAUAAGAUAGUAGAGAGGCAUCUCUUAGCUAUUAAAGAUUUAUCGGAUAAGGAUGGCCAUGCGUAAGAUUAGAUAGUUGGCGAGGUAACGGCUCACCAAGUCUACGAUCUUUAGGGGCUCUGAGAGGAGAAUCCCCCACACUGGCACGGAGAUACGGGCCAGACUCCUACGGGAGGCGGCAGUAGGGAAUAUUGGGCAAUGGGCGGAAGCCUGACCCAGCCACGCCGCGUGCAGGAAGACGGCCCUCUGGGUUGUAAACUGCUUUUAACUGGGAAGAAAGUAGUCCUUGCGAGGAAAGUUGACGGUACCAGUUGAAUAAGCCACGGCUAACUACGUGCCAGCCGCCGCUGUAAUAC
rnacentral:rRNA from 1 species